GACGAACGCUGGCGGCGUGCCUAAUACAUGCAAGUAGAACGCUGAAGGAGGAGCUUGCUCUUCUGGAUGAGUUGCGAACGGGUGAGUAACGCGUAGGUAACCUGCCUGGUAGCGGGGGAUAACUAUUGGAAACGAUAGCUAAUACCGCAUAAGAGUAGAUGUCGCAUGACAUUUGCUUAAAAGGUGCAAUUGCAUCACUACCAGAUGGACCUGCGUUGUAUUAGCUAGUUGGUGAGGUAACGGCUCACCAAGGCAACGAUACAUAGCCGACCUGAGAGGGUGAUCGGCCACACUGGGACUGAGACACGGCCCAGACUCCUACGGGAGGCAGCAGUAGGGAAUCUUCGGCAAUGGACGGAAGUCUGACCGAGCAACGCCGCGUGAGUGAAGAAGGUUUUCGGAUCGUAAAGCUCUGUUGUAAGAGAAGAACGAGUGUGAGAGUGGAAAGUUCACACUGUGACGGUAUCUUACCAGAAAGGGACGGCUAACUACGUGCCAGCAGCCGCGGUAAUACGUAGGUCCCGAGCGUUGUCCGGAUUUAUUGGGCGUAAAGCGAGCGCAGGCGGUUAGAUAAGUCUGAAGUUAAAGGCUGUGGCUUAACCAUAGUACGCUUUGGAAACUGUUUAACUUGAGUGCAAGAGGGGAGAGUGGAAUUCCAUGUGUAGCGGUGAAAUGCGUAGAUAUAUGGAGGAACACCGGUGGCGAAAGCGGCUCUCUGGCUUGUAACUGACGCUGAGGCUCGAAAGCGUGGGGAGCAAACAGG
rnacentral:rRNA from 1 species